GAGAGAAAAUCAGCGGCAGCGAAUGGCGGCCUCUUCUUUGAUCUAAGCACAGGCGCUGGCACACAGAAUCUUAUACGAAGAAAGGGAAAAAUGGUGGCGAUUUCGCUUUACAGAGGGAACCUCCACAGAGUCCCGGACGUACCUCGUCGAUGGCCAAUGCCAGUCCGCAAAAUCUCUCUCAAAGACUUCAAAUCCCUCCUACACCGCCGUUCCAAAGCCCUUUCUCGCCUCCGCUCUUCCACCAACGCCAUCGCCACCACUUCUAAUCAUAACCCUAAAACUGAUCCAAAGGAGAACGUGGAUCCAAUUGCGCUUAACUUGGAGGCCGGCGAAGGGACUAAUCGUGAAGAGGAGGAGGGGACUUCCAAAGGUUCAGCUUCUAAGGAGGUCAAGGAUCAGAAAGGAUUGGAUUUUGGUGAAUGUUCGGUUAAACCGGAGGGCUUGUUGGAUUUGUCGCCUGCUGAGAAAGGCGAUGAUGAGGCAGUUAACGCCGAUGGGAAUUUUCAGCCUGAAAAGCUGGAUUUGUCAGCUAAUCCUAAUACGGAGCCGCGCAAAGCUGAUGUUGUAAAUGAUAAAGAGAAAAGGAAAAAGGAAGUUGAGGAGAAGUUACUGGUUUUGAAUGCGAAGAAGCAUAAUCUGGUACAAGUGCUGAAGCAGAUCUUGAAUGUGGAGGAGGAAUUAAAGAGACGAAAUAGCAUGCAAGGAAUGGGAAUUCGCCCUUCUGUUCCUCUUCAAGGGGAUAUUGCUAAUGAUUCUGGGUCAAUGAGUAGGCAUAAUACUCCUAGGAUGGGCUCAGAAGGAAACCUUGGUGGUGAUAUGGAAGGGGGAGAAACUGAAGAUGUUUCAAAUCCUAGUAAUCAUUCUCGUCACAUACAACGAAUGAGCAGUACAUCUCCAUCUUCAGAGUCUCCUCUAAGAAAGCCUCCCUACAUUCAGCACAAUGUGGUUCCAUACCCCUCUCGUCCAAGUUUAGGGACCAUCAGUAGUCCAUCACGCUUUGCUCCAACAGGACACCAAGUCCCUUCUGCAAAUGUACCAAUGGUAUCUGUAUCAGGAACAAAUUACAUUGCGUCCUCUCCAUCCCCUGCAGCAUCUGGUGGCACAUCGGCAUUUAGAGAUGCUCGGCAGUCAAGUCCAUGGAAUUAGAAGGUGUGCACUAACAUGAUUUUGAUAUUUGGCUCUGUUGUAACAGCUUCAAUCUUCUUGUUAAUCGGCAGGCAUAUCAAGCUUACAUGGUUUUUAUCCUCCUUUGCUCAGUCUUUCAUCCCCAUGCAAAUUGAAUGUUGGCGCCUUUUAAAAUGUUCCAUUUAUGUGAGUCUUUCCAUUGUUUAGCCAGCCCCAGGUUGAAGAUGACGAGAAUCCAAGCAGUGCCAAAAAUUAUAUAUAUUUUUUAAAUCAUUGUAAAUGUAGCACCGUCCAUUCAUUGCUAGUUAUGUGUUGUUCAUUGCAAUUUCUUAAAUUCAAAGCACUGAUCCUAACAGAUUUAAGCUAUAGAAUUGUUGAAAACCGCGAGUUGUAGGGACUGAGUCAAGCAUUGUAAAAUACAUGUUGAGUAGGGUUAUUUUGUUGGAUAUAAUAUCCAAAGCAUUGUGGUCAUGUGGUGCAUUGGAAUUCAAUUAUUGGUGAUUUUCGUGUCACCUUCAGUUCAAAAGGGGGUUAAAUGACACGGGUGAAUGGACAUUACAAGUUUUGAUUUUGUUAAAUAUUGAAUCUAUUUUCCUUCCAUUUUGAUCUGUGGUCUUUUAAUUCAUCUAAAACUGUGAUAACGUGUUGGUGCUGUUCUGUUUAUGUCAUGCAUCUUUUGGCCAUACGAUUGUACCCUAUUUCUUAAAAUUUUCCCUCCAAAAUUUCAAUUCUCUGGGGGUUUAGCCUAAACGAAAUCAAUACAUGGUUCUACCAACUUCUAAAUAAUUUUUUUUGAGAAGCCGCUACUUUAGUUUGAGGAUCCAUCAAAGGCUAAAUCAAGUUGAGGUUCUCUGAUAAUGGCAUAUGGAGCUUCAUCGUUGGAGCAUUGAAUUGUGCAUGAUCUUUCCUUGUGCUUGAUGUUAAGAGGUUAACAAUUUCGUUAGGUGGUGACACGGCCGCGGAAGGAGAUCAUCCUUUGGACGUACACAAGUAGAGUCAAUUGAA
rnacentral:misc_RNA from 1 species